rnacentral:rRNA from 1 species
GACGAACGCUGGCGGCGUGCUUAACACAUGCAAGUCGAGCGGUAAGGGCCCUUUCGGGGGUACACGAGCGGCGAACGGGUGAGCAACACGUGGGUGACCUGCCCUCAGCUCUGGGAUAAGCCCGGGAAACUGGGUCUAAUACUGGAUAUGACUCCAUGACGCAUGUUGUGGGGUGGAAAGCCUUGUGCGGCUGAGGAUGGGCCCGCGGCCUAUCAGCUUGUUGGNGGGGUGAUGGCCUACCAAGGCGACGACGGGGUAGCCGGCCUGAGAGGGCGACCGGCCACACUGGACUGAGACACGGCCCAGACUCCUACGGGAGGCAGCAGUGGGGAAUCUUGCGCAAUGGGCGAAAGCCUGACGCAGCGACGCCGCGUGAGGGAUGACGGCU